rnacentral:tRNA from 1 species
CGGGGCGUGGCUCAGCUUGGCUAGAGCGCCUGCGUGGGGUGCAGGAGGUCGUCGGUUCGAAUCCGGCCGCCCCGA